GACGAACGCUGGCGGCGUGCUUAACACAUGCAAGUCGAACGGUAAGGCCCUGCUUUUGUGGGGUGCUCGAGUGGCGAACGGGUGAGUAACACGUGAGUAACCUGCCCUUGACUUUGGGAUAACUUCAGGAAACUGGGGCUAAUACCGGAUAGGAGCUCCUGCUGCAUGGUGGGGGUUGGAACGUUUCGGCGGUUGGGGAUGGACUCGCGGCUUAUCAGCUUGUUGGUGGGGUAGUGGCUUACCAAGGCUUUGACGGGUAGCCGGCCUGAGAGGGUGACCGGCCACAAUGGGACUGAGAUACGGCCCAGACUCCUACGGGAGGCAGCAGUGGGGAAUAUUGCACAAUGGGCGGAAGCCUGAUGCAGCAACGCCGCGUGCGGGAUGACGGCCUUCGGGGUGUAAACCGCUUUCGCCUGUGACGAAGCGUGAGUGACGGUAAUGGGUAAAGAAGCACCGGCUAACUACGUG
rnacentral:rRNA from 1 species